UGUGAAAGAAAGAGAAGGGGAYUGAAACAGACUGGCAAGCUGGCUUUGCUGUCUCUAGGCAGCUCUAACUUGCAUGACCAGCACUUACGUAGCAGAUCAACAGGUCUUAGUGCCUUGUUAGCAUUUACGAAACAGUCUUUGCAGAAGAUCAUUUCCUUUUCAGCAACUAUCAAUGUGAGAUAUUGAAUACUCGUCUUUAAUUUUCCAGCAUAUUUGCCUUUACUUCCUGUUUUCUUGUGUUCCAACAAAUAUGUUGAUUGUUUUGUUUGGUGUUUGGAAUUCUUUGUGUCUUUUCAGCAGUAACGUAAGGUCAUUUCUGAGGUCAUAGAAAGCCCUAUGCACACUGAACAGAAGCAGUGUAAGAUGCUGCCAAUAAUGUGGUACUUGGGUUCCUGCAUCGAGAAUGAGACAGGAGUGAAGGGCUCAAAAGAGGAUGUGUGUGUGGCCCAGAGAAUAGGUGCUGUCCCUGGCUUCUACCCCGUGGAGAAUCUGUGGAAAACAAGAGCUGGGAGGUAUGUUACCUGUUCCGUAGAAUGUCAUUGCAGCUACUCCCUGAGACAGAUGUAGAUAUGGCCAAGUAUCUGCUCACAGAGCUCCAAUGAAGCAUACUAUGGGGUAGUGGAGGGUGGUAGCUGGAGCAGGGCAGAGGGGAAAGAGAUGUAGUGGAGCGACUACYCUGUAGAGAUGACUCUGAUUCUCCAAUUUCCAGAGAGAUUGUUAGAAUUUGGGAGUAAGCCCAUAGAUAAUUUUCCGAGAUUGGGAUAUUUCUCACUUUGAUGCUCCCAACUCUGUACCCAACAGAGCAUUCAGGGAAAAGCUUUGAGGAGAUUGGGCCCUGGGAGAUAUCUAUAGAAGAAGUAAACAAACAAGCAUGCUAGAAAUUUUGCAGUCAUGAAGAAAGACACCUUGAAGAAUUUACAGUUUAAAGGUCUGAUCUGCAAAGGUUUAGUCUUAUUGGCUGUUGAUUUGCUAUCAUGAACUUACCAUUGGCAUCUUAAUACCUUUAACGUGGGUAUGUAAACAGGCAAUUGUGUGCACUCUAGUACCUUCUUUUGAGCAGGCAUUUGAUGAGUAAGUGGAGUGUAUAUUUCCUCCCUCUUCCAAGUUCCCAAGUGUAUUUUACAGGUCACCAAACACAUUCUAAGGGGGAUUUGCCUUUGUCUGUAUUUGCCCCAUUCUUACUAUUUCCCUAAAUGUUUGCUGCUGGCCACCUUCAGGAUGCAAAUUACAGAAGAGACCUUUGAUCCAGUCCAGGAUGGCAAUUCU
rnacentral:lncRNA from 1 species